CCUACGGGCGGCAGCAGUCGAGAAUCAUUCACAAUGGGGGAAACCCUGAUGGUGCGACGCCGCGUGGGGGAAUGAAGGUCUUCGGAUUGUAAACCCCUGCCAUGUGGGAGCAAAUUAAAACGAUAGUACCACAAGAGGAAGAGACGGCUAACGCUGUGACAGCAGCCGCGGUAAUACGGAGGUGGCAAGCGUUGUUCGGUAUUAAGGGUCGUAAGGCGUGCGUAGGCUGUUUCGUAAGUCGGGUGUGAAAGGAGCGGGCUCAACCCGGGGACGGCUAAUGAUAUUACGGGACUAGAGUAAAGGAGGGGGAAGCGGAAUUCUCGGUGUAGCAGUGAAAUGCGUAGAUA
rnacentral:rRNA from 1 species